GGCGAACGCUGGCGGCGUGCCUAAUACAUGCAAGUCGAACGCUUCUCUCCUCCCGAGUGCUUGCACUCAAUUGGAAAGAGGAGUGGCGGACGGGUGAGUAACACGUGGGUAACCUACCCAUCAGAGGGGGAUAACACUUGGAAACAGGUGCUAAUACCGCAUAACAGUUUAUGCCGCAUGGCAUAAGAGUGAAAGGCGCUUUCGGGUGUCGCUGAUGGAUGGACCCGCGGUGCAUUAGCUAGUUGGUGAGGUAACGGCUCACCAAGGCCACGAUGCAUAGCCGACCUGAGAGGGUGAUCGGCCACACUGGGACUGAGACACGGCCCAGACUCCUACGAGAGGCAGCAGUAGGGAAUCUUCGGCAAUGGACGAAAGUCUGACCGAGCAACGCCGCGUGAGUGAAGAAGGUUUUCGGAUCGUAAAACUCUGUUGUUAGAGAAGAACAAGGACGUUAGUAACUGAACGUCCCCUGACGGUAUCUAACCAGAAAGCCACGGCUAACUACGUG
rnacentral:rRNA from 1 species